GCUAAGCAUCAGUUUUUACCCAUCUCACAGAGAAGAUAAUUAAGAGGAUGCUCAAAAGGAGGCUGGCUGGAAGAAAUAACCAAUCCAAAAUGCCUGUUGUUAAAUGGGUCAUAAAGGCCCUGGGAAAUCAAUAUUUGACUUUCUGUUUCAGGAAUGGUGGCUGCUACAUGCAGUUUUAGAUCAAUCUACUAUAGUCAUGCUGCCCUGAGACCCAGAUAAUUCCUCUGUGAACUCUGGACACUCCGAAGUAACUUCUAAUCCAGAGAUGAGGCCCAUGCCUGGAGCUGAGGCCAGAUGUGGAAGGCUCACAGGAUCCACAAGGGAGCUACUUGUGCAGGGCUCACUCUCGACUCCUUCCCACGGCUCCACAAACCAACGUGUCCAACUCAGCUUUCCAGGGCUUCAUUACAAGUUUUCCAGCCUCUCAAAGACGUGGUGACUGCGCCAAGGCACUCUACUGUUUCUGCAUCAAACAGCAAGACACUAAUGAUUGUCUGGACAAAAUCAGAGACGGCCUUGGACUCCGUGUGAGCAAUGACCGCCGGUGCCUGUGAGCAGGACUUCCCUGGGACACCAGGUACGUCACGUUCCACUCGACCGGCCCUCUCCUGUGCUCCAGUCAGGCCAGCCACACAGCCCUGUGCCCCUCUGCUUCCCUAACCCCAUGUGUCACCUGAUGCUACGGACCUCCUUCUAAGGCUUCUUUAUUCCAGAAUAAGAUGAGGAUGUUAGUAAUGCCUACCCAGAGGGUUGUGUGAACAUUACAUGAAAUUAGUUAUUUAAAAGUACAGAGUAAGCCCGCAACUAAAAGAUUUAUUUAUCUUGUAAUUUUCCUUUCCUGGUUCUUCUCUCUUCAUUCUACCUUUAUAUCUUCCAAUUAUCUCUCCCUCCCUCUCUCUCUCUCUCUCUCACACACACACAUACACGUUUGCAAAUCCCUGAAAGGCAGAGGCUCUGACUUGUUCAUUCAAGCAUUUCUUUCAGUGUCUAGCGUGUGUUUUGCUUAAGGCCACACUCCAUACAUGCUUGCAACACAGAACAACAUUAAUAAUAUAAUAGCUACUAGUAACAUUAUCUGAGCUCUUGGUAUGAGCCAGGCACUCUGCUAAUAAGUAUCAUCACCUCAUUUAAUUCUUACAACAAGUCUCUUAGACAAGUACUAUUUUCAUCCUCAUUUUAUGGGAAACUGAAGUUUAAAGACAUUCUGUAACUUGAUCAAGGUCACACAAGCUCAUAACUGGGCACCCAGGAUGCAAAGAAUCAGCCUAGUUUGGAGUUUCAGCUCUUAUUUGCCACAUGUUGAGUUGGUUUUCUCAGCUUUUGUCUCUUUUAGGCUGAGCUCUGUUAAGGGAUCAGCAUGUACCCACUCUUACAUGGAUGAUUUUAAGGACCUCGAUCUUUGGUGUUCCAGGAAGUUCAGAAGUAUAUGCAAACUCCAGUUUAUAGCUACUCAACAG
rnacentral:lncRNA from 1 species